CAGCAAGUGGAGGUCCCACUGAGAUCUGAGGAAAGGAGGUGCUGAUAAACCUAUCUGGAUUCCUGAAAGAUAUUGUCGAACGAUCAACCCCCUGGAAGACCAUGGAACAUCUCAACAAAAUAACAAAGGUGAUGAUCCUCAUCCUUCUGACACAGACAUGGAGCAUACAGGUAAUUGUGUCCCGAGUAGCUGCUGGAAUUCCUCUUUCACUUCUGCGCUGGUUGUGAGGAUCCCUACACUUCUUC